rnacentral:lncRNA from 1 species
UUCAGAAACUCUAGUGUUUGCAACUGGUAUGUUAUUCUUAGUUAAAUAAUUCCCUCUUCACUAUGUGUUAUUUUGUUGUUAGCUUGUUCUGCUUGCUUGUCCUGGGUAGCUACGUCCUAGUCUGUUAUACGUCUUUGCUUAUGUUUCUCCAACUCUGUAAAUGAUUAUAUUAUGUGAAUCCCUAUCCCUUUACCCCUUUUGUAUGAAGAGUACAAUUCCAGUCAUGGAAAUAUCCUAUUAUUGCUAUCCAAUGACUUUGAACCGGGUUCUUUUGAACCCUUAUUCAAAUCAAUUCCCACUCCCAUUUCUCCUUUAUGUGCUAAGCCUUGAC